rnacentral:rRNA from 1 species
AUUGAACGCUGGCGGCAUGCCUUACACAUGCAAGUCGAACGGUAACAGGUCUUCGGAUGCUGACGAGUGGCGAACGGGUGAGUAAUACAUCGGAACGUGCCUAGUAGUGGGGGAUAACUACUCGAAAGAGUGGCUAAUACCGCAUGAGAUCUACGGAUGAAAGCAGGGGAUCGCAAGACCUUGUGCUACUAGAGCGGCCGAUGGCAGAUGAGGUAGUUGGUGGGAUAAAAGCUUACCAAGCCGACGAUCUGUAGCUGGUUUGAGAGGAUGAUCAGCCGCACUGGGGCGGAGACACGGCCCAGACUCCUACGGAAGGCAGCAGUGGGGAAUUUUGGACAAUGGGCGCAAGCCUGAUCCAGCAAUGCCGCGUGCAGGAUGAAGGCCUUCGGGUUGUAAACUGCUUUUGUACGGAACGAAAAGCCCUGGGUUAAUACCCUGGGGUCAUGACGGUACCGUAAGAAUAAGCACCGGCUAACUACGUGCCAGCCGCCGCAGUAA